rfam:Stegodyphus mimosarum contig9070, whole genome shotgun sequence.
GCCUUCGUUGUGUAAUGGUCAGCACACUCGACGCAUAUUCGAGAGGUCCGUGGUUCGAGUCUCGGCAAGGGCA